rnacentral:miRNA from 1 species
CGAGUCCAUUUCUGCAUCCAAUU